AACUUUUAGCAAUGGAUCUCUUGGCUCUCGCAUCGAUGAAGAACGCAGCGAAAUGCGAUAAGUAUUGUGAAUUGCAGAAUUCAGUGAAUCAUCGAAUUUUUGAACGCACCUUGCGCUCCCUGGUAUUCCGGGGAGCACGCCUGUUCGAGUGUCGUGAAAUUCUCAAACCGGGAUGCUUUUUGUUUCUCGGCUUGGUGUUGGGCUUUUCAGUUCCUUUGAUUGGGAUGGCUGGCCUCAAAAGCAUUAGCUGGCUUUUCAUGUGGCAUUGGUUCUACUCAGCGUGAUAAUGAUCUGACCGCCGAGGACAUCUUUCGAGAUGGCCAAUUCUCAUUUGGGCUGCUUCUAAUUCUGGUUGAGCAGGUUCUGAAUCUGCUCUACUUUUUUCAGCUUUUGACCUCGAAUCAGGUGGGACUACCCGCUGAACUUAAGCAUAUCAAUAAGCGGAGGCU
rnacentral:misc_RNA from 1 species